rnacentral:rRNA from 1 species
GAUGAACGCUGGCGGCGUGCUUAACACAUGCAAGUCGAACGGAAAGGCCCAAGCUUGCUUGGGUACUCGAGUGGCGAACGGGUGAGUAACACGUGGGUGAUCUGCCCUGCACUUCGGGAUAAGCCUGGGAAACUGGGUCUAAUACCGGAUAGGACCACAUUUUGGAUGGUGUGGUGGAAAGUUUUUCGGUGUGGGAUGAGCUCGCGGCCUAUCAGCUUGUUGGUGGGGUAAUGGCCUACCAAGGCGUCGACGGGUAGCCGGCCUGAGAGGGUGUACGGCCACAUUGGGACUGAGAUACGGCCCAGACUCCUACGGGAGGCAGCAGUGGGGAAUAUUGCACAAUGGGCGCAAGCCUGAGGCAGCGACGCCGCGUGGGGGAUGACGGCCUUCGGGUUGUAAACUCCUUUCGCUAGGGACGAAGCGUUUUUGUGACGGUACCUGGAGAAGAAGCACCGGCUAACUACGUG